AUUGAACGCUGGCGGCAGGCCUAACACAUGCAAGUCGAGCGGAUGAAGGGAGCUUGCUCCUGGAUUCAGCGGCGGACGGGUGAGUAAUGCCUAGGAAUCUGCCUGGUAGUGGGGGAUAACGUCCGGAAACGGGCGCUAAUACCGCAUACGUCCUGAGGGAGAAAGUGGGGGAUCUUCGGACCUCACGCUCUCAGAUGAGCCUAGGUCGGAUUAGCUAGUUGGUGGGGUAAAGGCCUACCAAGGCGACGAUCCGUAACUGGUCUGAGAGGAUGAUCAGUCACACUGGAACUGAGACACGGUCCAGACUACUACGGGAGGCAGCAGUGGGGAAUAUUGGACAAUGGGCGAAAGCCUGAUCCAGCCAUGCCGCGUGUGUGAAGAAGGUCUUCGGAUUGUAAAGCACUUUAAGUUGGGAGGAAGGGCAGUAAGUUAAUACCUUGCUGUUUUGACGUUACCAACAGAAUAAGCACCGGCUAACUUCGUG
rnacentral:rRNA from 1 species